rnacentral:rRNA from 1 species
AGAGUUUGAUCCUGGCUCAGGACGAACGCAUGGUGGCGUGCUUAACACAUGCAAGUCGAACGGUGAUGCCCAGCUUGCUGGGUGGAUCAGUGGCGAACGGGUGAGUAACACGUGAGCAACCUGCCCCCUACUUCGGGAUAAGCCUUGGAAACGGGGUCUAAUACCGGAUAUGAGCGCCUGCCGCAUGGUGGGUGUUGGAAAGUUUUUCGGUGGGGGAUGGGCUCGCGGCCUAUCAGCUUGUUGGUGGGGUAAUGGCCUACCAAGGCGUCGACGGGUAGCCGGCCUGAGAGGGCGACCGGCCACACUGGGACUGAGACACGGCCCAGACUCCUACGGGAGGCAGCAGUGGGGAAUAUUGCACAAUGGGCGAAAGCCUGAUGCAGCGACGCCACGUGAGGGAUGACGGCCUUCGGGUUGUAAACCUCUUUCAGCAGGGAAGAAGCGCAAGUGACGGUACCUGCAGAAGAAGCGCCGGCUAACUACGUGCCAGCAGCCGCGGUAAUACGUAGGGCGCAAGCGUUGUCCGGAAUUAUUGGGCGUAAAGAGCUCGUAGGCGGUCUGUCGCGUCUGGUGUGAAAUCCCAUGGCUCAACUGUGGGCUUGCAUCGGGUACGGGCAGACUAGAGUGCUGUAGGGGAGACUGGAAUUCCUGGUGUAGCGGUGGAAUGCGCAGAUAUCAGGAGGAACACCGAUGGCGAAGGCAGGUCUCUGGGCAGUUACUGACGCUGAGGAGCGAAAGCAUGGGGAGCGAACCAGGAUUAGAUACCCUGGUAGUCCAUGCCGUAAACGUGGCACUAGGUGUGGGGCCAGUUCCACUGGUUCUGUGCCGCAGCUAACGCAUUAAGUGCCCCGCCUGGGGAGUACGGCCGCAAGGCUAAAACUCAAAGGAAUUGACGGGGGCCCGCACAAGCGGCGGAGCAUGCGGAUUAAUUCGAUGCAACGCGAAGAACCUUACCAAGGCUUGACAUGUACGAGAAAGCCCCAGAGAUGGGGUUCUCUUUGGACACUCGUACACAGGUGGUGCAUGGUUGUCGUCAGCUCGUGUCGUGAGAUGUUGGGUUAAGUCCCGCAACGAGCGCAACCCUUAUCCUAUGUUGCCAGCGGGUUAUGCCGGGGACUCAUGGGAGACUGCCGGGGUCAACUCGGAGGAAGGUGGGGAUGACGUCAAAUCAUCAUGCCCCUUAUGUCUUGGGCUUCACGCAUGCUACAAUGGCCGGUACAGAGGGCUGCGAUACCGUGAGGUGGAGCGAAUCCCAAAAAGCCGGUCUCAGUUCGGAUCGGGGUCUGCAACUCGACCCCGUGAAGUCGGAGUCGCUAGUAAUCGCAGAUCAGCAACGCUGCGGUGAAUACGUUCCCGGGCCUUGUACACACCGCCCGUCAAGUCACGAAAGUUGGUAACACCCGAAGCUCACGGCCCAACCCGCAAGGGAGGGAGUGGUCGAAGGUGGGACUGGCGAUU